UUCAGCCUACAGCUUGUCUUGGUUUCACCCUUUUUUCAUUUCUUUACAACAAUGAAAAUUCUAAACAGUUGAUCACAGUGCCAGGCCAAUAAGAAAGCAUUUUAGGGAGGAGAGAGGAGGGAAGGGGUUGGCAGGCACGGAGAGGACUUGACACACAGAAAGCAUUUGCCAUGGAGUCAUAACCAUUUGAUUCUAAGACACAUGCCGCCUCCAGAAGUCAUGCGGCCCCUCCCUCUGCUUCCAGUAGGGAAUGAACUUGGCGGUCCUUUUGUUGCACACGCCCGGGAGCUGCGCCGGCGCAGCGCGCCCUGCAGCCUGGGAGCGCAAGCGGUGCGCCACUGGUCCUCGGUCACCACUGCGCGCCGCGGGCUGGCGCAGGGCCCCUCUGCCGGAGGGAAACCGGCGUCCCCCCGCGCGAAGCAGCCGCUGCUCCUAAAGAGUUCAUGGGCUCACCGCGCUGAGCUCGCCAGGCGGACCCGGCUUCGCCAGGGGCCUGCUGGCUGUCCUGACACACCUGGCCUACCUCGGGGGUGCCUGGGGGGACGCCCUUCCUUUGACUGCGGGAUAGGAGCACAAUGAAAAUGGGGCGGACGUGGCUGGGAGACAGCUCUGCUCUCCGGCAGGCUCUGGGGAGUGUGUGGUACGUGGUAUCCGCACUGGUGGGUGUCGUGCGGUGAUCGAGACAUGGAGACAGGGUGUCGUUCCCACUAGGGGAGAGAGGACAGCAUUUAGAGGGAAACGAAAUGGAUCCGAGAAACCCAAAGAUGUCACAAAGGAAACGCUUCCCCGUCAUAAGCAAUCUAAAUAAGUGAUUCUUAAAGGCAUCCAUCAAAACGCAUAACCUUGUCAUUUAGAUUCGCUCGCCCACAGGGGGACUGGAGGGUACUCACCGACUAGGGCUUCACAGCCGCAUCACCGCCAGCGGUGGGCGCCUGCCUCGGCAGGGGCAGGGUGGGUGUCCGCAGGACACAGGUGCCGCCGUGGCUGCUCGCACAACCCCUGCAGCUGCGAUCCCGCCCAGUUAGCCUCGGGGGCUGCACAGCCCAGCCCACUCGCCCAGGGCCAGGGGUUCUCAAGCCGCGCGGCGAGGACGCAAGGCUGCCCCGGGCGCCUACCUACGCGGGCGCUCGGCGCCGGGACUCU
rnacentral:lncRNA from 1 species